AUCUGUUGCACAGCCAGACUUAUUUGCCUUUCCUUUUGCCUCAACCCUCAUCCUGCAUGUGCCGAUGCCUUUCCUCUUUAGAUACAUAUCUUAUCUUUAACCACAUGUCCAUUAUUAUCCAAUGGAACGAUGAUGAACUAGUUCUGCAUGUUACCACAUGUCCAUUAUUAUCCAAUGGAACGAUGAUGACUAGUUCUGCAUGUUACCACAUGUCCAUUAUUAUCCAAUGGAACGAUGAUGAACAGUUCUGCAUGUUACCACAUGUCCAUUAUUAUCCAAUGGAACGAUGAGGAACUAGUUCUGCAUGUUACCACAUGUCCAUUAUUAUCCAAUGGAACGAUGAUGAACUAGUUUUGCAUGUUACCAACAUGUCCAUUAUUAUCCAAUGGAACGAUGAUGAACUAGUUUUGCAUGUUUUCCAACCAGGAAAGAGAAACCGUAGAAUAACUGCCAUGAUUAAAACAGUCAUGAGAUGUUCAGGUUUCAGGUCAGACUCACUAGAUGGUGACUAUAGUAGCUGCUGUUAUUUGUCCUGUUUCACACUUGUCCAGGUGUGAGUAGGACAUGUUUUUCUCGUAUAUCCCAACAGCCACAGAGAGCUGGGGUCUUUAGACAGGGUCAGACAUGACACACCCCCACAGAGAGCUGGGGUCUUUAGACAGGGUCAGACAUGAUCAAACCCCACAGAGAGCUGGGGUCUUUAGACAGGGUCAGACAUUAUCAACACCCACAGAGAGCUGGCGUCUUUAGACAGGGUCAGACAUUAUCAACACCCACAGAGAGCUGGGUCUUUAGACAGGGUCAGGACAUUAUCAACACCCACAGAGAGCUGGGGUCUUUAGACAGGGUCAGACAUUAUCAACACCCACAGAGAGCUGGGGUCUUUAGACAGGGUCAGACAUUAUCAACGACAUGCCUGGAGCCAUUGAAUUGAAUUGCCUUGCUCGAGGGCACAAUGACAAAUGUUUUAAAAAAAAAUGCAAGUAUGAAGGUAGUUUGGUGCCUACCCAAAAAGGGUUAAUAUGUGUAGAAAUAUCCAUCUAUAUCUAUUUAUCUAAUAUUUCCUCAGUGUUAUUAUAU
rnacentral:lncRNA from 1 species